rnacentral:rRNA from 1 species
AGAGUUUGAUCCUGGCUCAGAACAAACGCUGGCGGCGUGGCUAAGACAUGCAAGUCGAACGGACCAUUAAUUUAUUAAUGGUUAGUGGCGUAAGGGUUAGUAAUGGACAGGUAACGUACCCUGUGCUCUGGGAUAGCGUCGUUCGCCUUCGGGCGAGCUUCCGAAAGGGGCGGUAAUACCGGAUAAUAUCAUUUGUCGAUGGACGGAUGUUCAAAGAUUUAUCGGCACAGGAGCGGCCUAUCUCCUAUCAGCUUGUUGGUGAGGUAACGGCUCACCAAGGCAGUGACGGGUAGCGGGACUGAGAGGUUGACCCGCAACAUCGGGACUGAGACACUGCCCGGACCUCCACGGGGGGCUGCAGUAACGAAUCUUGCGCAAUGGGCGAAAGCCUGACGCAGCGACGCCGCGUGUAGGAAGAAGUCUUUCGGGAUGUAAACUACUGUCAGGGGGAAGAAAGUCCGCUUCGGCGGAUUGAUCUAACCCAAAGGAAGUCACGGCUAACUUCGUGCCAGCAGCCGCGGUAAGACGAAGGUGGCAAGCGUUGUUCGGUGUCACUGGGCUUAAAGCGUGUGUAGGCGGAAAGGUAAGCGUCCUGUGAAAUCCCCCGGCUUAACCGGGGAAUUGCUCGACGAACUGCCUUUCUUGAGGCAAGUAGGGGUGCAUGGAACUCUUGGUGGAGCGGUGGAAUGCGUAGAUAUCAAGAGGAACGCCGGCGGUGAAAACGGUGCACUGGGCUUGUACUGACGCUGAGACACGAAAGCGUGGGUAGCGAACGGGAUUAGAUACCCCGGUAGUCCACGCCGUAAACGAUGUCUACUAGUUGUGGAAGUUCUGACGCUACCACAGCCGAAGCAAAGUGAUAAGUAGACGCCUGGGGAGUACGGUCGCAAGGCUAAACUCAAAGGAAUUGACGGGGCUCACACAAGCGGUGGAGCAUGUGGAUCAAUUCGAGCACGCGCAGACCUUACCUGGGGUUUGACAUGCUUGAUGCUCGCCUAGAAACAGGUGGAGCUGCCCUUCGGGUGAACUUGCACAGUGCCUGCAUGGCUGUUGGUUCACCUCUGUCUGUGGGAAGAUCGGGUUAAGUACUUAACAAAGCGAAA